GAACCCUGAAAGGAGAAACCUCAUAGGGGAUCUAUCUCUGGUCUGGUGGUCUCUAACCAUUUCAUUCCUGGGCCUGGGGACCCACAGGAUGUGCAGGCUUUUGUUCCAACUCAAUACUAACAUCCUCAACAACUGUUUUGUAAUGAGCACUACAUGGUCUGCCAUUGGAACUGACUAAAUGCAUGCCAAGCAAUAUCAAAUCAAAUUGAUUUAUAUAGCCCUUCGUACAUCAGCUGAUAUCUCAAAGUGCUGUACAGAAACCCAGCCUAAAACCCCAAACAGCAAGCAAUGCAAUGUGCAUCCCCUUGUUUCUAUUAGUGUGUCUAUCCUGUCAUUUGUUUUUGGUUCAGUGGUCAAUGUUGACUACGUUUCCAUGUUCAUACAGGGGAUAAACAGAAGAACAUGUGUCAGUCUUACCUACGAAGGCAGCUAGGUUCAUGACCUGGCUAAAUACACAGCUGGCCGGGGGAGCAUUGCCUGCAAAGCUGAGAGAGAGGGGGAAGAUGGAGGGACAGAGAAAGAUAUCAUUGUAUUGACAGGAAUCACCAAACCUAGGUAAAGAUUAGUACUAGUAUAGGGUGUGUACUGUACCUUAUAUAUGGAGGGGAUUUAGGGCCAGAUCGGCUGUGAAAAAUGACAUGUAAUAUUUAGAAACUGGUGCGUGGUCAUAAUAACUGGAAUAACAUAUUGCUACGUUAUAAACAAUCCUUACUUGUAUUCUGAACUCAGGGGUGUUAUCUUCUCAUCUUCAACAGCUAUGAAAUACCUGCAACCAAUGAGAACCAUUUUGUUAAUGUCACAUACACACACAGCUGUAAAGCCAAAUGGUGUGUGAGAUAGCAAAAACAUCGUGUUUUUAAAAAUGUGUACUUACACAACCCAGAGUCCAGCAGCUGUGAAGAGAGAGUACAUGGCAGGGAGAAACGUCCAGGGACUGCACUUCCUCAUGGCGUCUCCUGUAUACAAAGACCGUUUCAAACAUCUCCACUGUCUGUCAACAGUAAGACAGGAAAUGAAGGCGGUAGAACUGUUUUAGGACCAACAGGCAAAACGGGUAGAACCUAUCCCUGAGUUGUUUGGUGUGUGUUUGAGGGAAUUACUGUAACUCAACAUAGAAGCACAGGAAUGCUGUUCAGAUGCCACACUUCUGAAUAGUGAGACUGAGAUAAAGUCAGAUAUACAAAAGAAAAACACAAUGAUGCGUUGUUCCCUGAAUUUUACAAUGUAAAAGACUGCAGUCACCACUUCCGGAGUAAUGUUAGGUUUCCAUUGAGGAGGACUGAACUGCUAGGGCUAGUAGCCUACUCCAAUAGCCUGCUAGCUGCUUCAAUAAUUAGUUAUCGUAAGGCAGUCAUACAUAAUUGCACUUAUAAUAACCUUGAAUUAAUUGACAUACAGAUUGGUGCAUGUAUAUUUAGAGGCAGAGCUAAAAGGUGAAUGUUUUUGUCUCGGGCAUAGCCUUGAAUAAAAACGACGUGGCUAACAUGCAACGCUUUCCAUUCUAUUGCUGGCGUGCUGGGAAUUGGAAUUUAACACCCUGUCAAUAUGCUGUUAUGUCAUGUCUGACAUGAUGCUUCCACAACAGAGACAACUUCACAUGUAGGACCUGAGCCCUAGGACUGUGCCCCAGGACUACCUGACAUGAUGACUCCUUGCUGUCCCCAGUCCACCUGACUGUGCUGCUGCUCCAGUUUCAACUGUUCUGCCUUAUUAUUAUUCGACCAUGCUGGUCAUUUAUGAACAUUUGAACAUCUUGGCCAUGUUCUGUUAUAAUCUCUACCCGGCACAGCCAGAAGAGGACUGGCCACCCCACAUAGCCUGGUUCCUCUCUAGGUUUCUUCCUACAUUUUGGCCUUUCUAGGGAGUUUUUCCUAGCCACCGUGCUUUUACACCUGCAUUGCUUGCUGUUUGGGGUUUUAGGCUGGGUUUCUGUACAGCACUUUGAGAUAUCAGCUGAUGUACGAAGGGCUAUAUAAAUACAUUUGAUUUGAUUUGAAACCGGAAAACAGGAAAUAGAUUAAUUCAUCCUCAACAUGGUGCUUUAAACUCUCCCUCAAGUUUCACAAAAACACUGUCUUCUAUGUAGCCCGUUCCUGCAGUCAAAGACCAAAAGUGCCCUCUUUGGCUUCAUGGGUGGAAUGUUAUUCAUAUUUUUCAUAAUGAAUAAAGACGGAUGAAAAUCCAGUGUUUUUAUGUUGAACGGUUUUGUUAUAUUUCAGUCUUCUGUGAUGUGCAAUAUUGGGAUGAACACUCAUAAUUGAAUACAUUUCAACUCUAUAUCUGACAUGGUACCGUUGUUUUAUUUUUUUAAGCCCAUAACCAUGUGUGAGAUGUAUAUUUUUGCAAGCCGGACCAUGUGAAAGGAACUCUUCAACAGUGAAAACUUUGUUCCCAGGAGAACAAGGCCUUUCUUCCAUAGAGGAAAGCAUUUCCUACAGCCCUCAUAUAACCAUGACUCACCCGUGGUCUGCAAUUGAGCAAGCUAACCAUCCUUCCGCACAACCCAUUGCGACUUUAUAGGGAUGCCCUGUGUCGAGGCGCAGCUUACCAUGGCAACAGGAAAUAGCUUAAUUCAUCCUCAACAUGGUGCCUUAAACUCUCCCUGAAGUUUCACAAAAACACUGUCUUCUAUCCUCUCCUUUUGACCUCCAAUGGACACAAUGGUCUUGCAGUUCUAGAAGUUAAGAGCCUUCUUAGAAUGAAUUCUGAAGAGGAUAUUGUUCACAUUAGUUUAGAUUGACUUGAAACUCCCACUGAAUGCAAUGUAUUGACGUGUCAACCCUGUGACACAUCUUUUCCCAUUGAAUGCAAUGUAUUGACGUGUCAACCCUGUGACACAUCUUUUCCCAUUGAAUGCAAUGUAUUGAUGUGUCAACCCUGUGACACAUCUUUUCCCAUUGAAUGCAAUGUAUUGAUGUGUCAACCCUGUGACACAUCUUUUCCCAUUGAAUGCAAUUUAUUCAAAUAAAAUAUUAUUUAUUUGUCACAUA